rnacentral:rRNA from 1 species
GAUGAACGCUGGCGGCGUGCCUAAUACAUGCAAGUCGAGCGAACGGACGAGGAGCUUGCUUCUCUGAUGUUAGCGGCGGACGGGUGAGUAACACGUGGAUAACCUACCUAUAAGACUGGGAUAACUUCGGGAAACCGGAGCUAAUACCGGAUGAUAUUUUGAACCGCAUGGUUCAAAAGUGAAAGACGGUCUUGCUGUCACUUAUAGAUGGAUCCGCGCUGCAUUAGCUAGUUGGUAAGGUAACGGCUUACCAAGGCAACGAUGCAUAGCCGACCUGAGAGGGUGAUCGGCCACACUGGAACUGAGACACGGUCCAGACUCCUACGGGAGGCAGCAGUAGGGAAUCUUCCGCAAUGGGCGAAAGCCUGACGGAGCAACGCCGCGUGAGUGAUGAAGGUCUUCGGAUCGUAAAACUCUGUUAUUAGGGAAGAACAUAUGUGUAAGUAACUGUGCACAUCUUGACGGUACCUAAUCAGAAAGCCACGGCUAACUACGUG